rnacentral:lncRNA from 1 species
GGGGGCUCCAGGCUCACGAACUGGCCCCGGAGGGGCUCUCCUGGCUCUUCCAGAACUCUUAGGGGCAUCACAGACAGGACAGACCCGCUCAAAUCCCUCCCACUGAAGCAGCAACAACAGUGGCCAUGACAGGUCUGUUUACAUGGGCUUCACGUCCUUGCCCUCCUUCCGGCCUCACAUUCGCCAGCAGAUCCAGUCAGCACAAAAGCGUGCUUGGGGGCCCAGAGGAGACAGAAACGAGGGUGGCCAAGCGCACCCACCAUACCUGCACACACACUGCACACAUGGCCCCAGUGCCCCCGCCAGACCUGUGCACAUGGCUGCACACACACAUGGCCCCAGUGCCCCCGCCAGACCUGUGCACAUGCCUGCACACACACAUGGCCCUGAGUGCACCCACUACACCUGUGCACACACACAGCUCCAAGUACACCACACCUGAGCACACACUGCACACAUGGCCCCAGUGCCCCCGCCAGACCUGUGCACAUGCCUGCACACACACAUGGCCGAGUGCACCCACUACACCUGUGCACACACACAGCUCCAAGUACACCACACCUGCACACACUGCACACAUGGCCCCAGUGCGUCCGCCAGACCUGUGCAAAUGCCUGCACACACAUGGCCCUGAGUGCACCCACUACACCUGUGCACACACACAGCUCCAAGUACACACCUGAGCACACACUGCACACAUGGCCCCAGUGCCCCCGCCAGACCUGUGCACAUGCCUGCACAUACACAUGGCCGAGUGCACCCACUACACCUGUGCACACACACAGCUCCAAGUACACCACACCUGCACACACUGCACACAUGGCCCCAGUGCGUCCGCCAGACCUGUGCACAUGCCUGCACACACAUGGCCCUGAGUGCACCCACUACACCUGUGCACACACACAGCUCCAAGUACACCACACCUGCGCACACACUGCACACAUGGCCCCAGUGCCCCCGCCAGACCUGUGCACAUGGCUGCACACACACAUGGCCCUGAGUGCACCCACUACACCUGUGCACACACACAGCUCCAAGUACACC